UGCUAAUACCGUAUAACAAUCGAAACCGCAUGGUUUUGAUUUGAAAGGCGCUUUCGGGUGUCGCUGAUGGAUGGACCCGCGGUGCAUUAGCUAGUUGGUGAGGUAACGGCUCACCAAGGCCACGAUGCAUAGCCGACCUGAGAGGGUGAUCGGCCACAUUGGGACUGAGACACGGCCCAAACUCCUACGGGAGGCAGCAGUAGGGAAUCUUCGGCAAUGGACGAAAGUCUGACCGAGCAACGCCGCGUGAGUGAAGAAGGUUUUCGGAUCGUAAAACUCUGUUGUUAGAGAAGAACAAGGAUGAGAGUAACUGUUCAUCCCUUGACGGUAUCUAACCAGAAAGCCACGGCUAACUACGUGCCAGCAGCCGCGGUAAUACGUAGGUGGCAAGCGUUGUCCGGAUUUAUUGGGCGUAAAGCGAGCGCAGGCGGUUUCUUAAGUCUGAUGUGAAAGCCCCCGGCUCAACCGGGGAGGGUCAUUGGAAACUGGGAGACUUGAGUGCAGAAGAGGAGAGUGGAAUUCCAUGUGUAGCGGUGAAAUGCGUAGAUAUAUGGAGGAACACCAGUGGCGAAGGCGGCUCUCUGGUCUGUAACUGACGCUGAGGCUCGAAAGCGUGGGGAGCAAACAGGAUUAGAUACCCUGGUAGUCCACGCCGUAAACGAUGAGUGCUAAGUGUUGGAGGGUUUCCGCCCUUCAGUGCUGCAGCUAACGCAUUAAGCACUCCGCCUGGGGAGUACGACCGCAAGGUUGAAACUCAAAGGAAUUGACGGGGGCCCGCACAAGCGGUGGAGCAUGUGGUUUAAUUCGAAGCAACGCGAAGAACCUUACCAGGUCUUGACAUCCUUUGACCACUCUA
rnacentral:rRNA from 1 species